UAGGGAAUCUUCGGCAAUGGGGGCAACCCUGACCGAGCAACGCCGCGUGAGUGAAGAAGGUUUUCGGAUCGUAAAGCUCUGUUGUAAGAGAAGAACGUGUGUGAGAGUGGAAAGUUCACACAGUGACGGUAACUUACCAGAAAGGGACGGCUAACUACGUGCCAGCAGCCGCGGUAAUACGUAGGUCCCGAGCGUUGUCCGGAUUUAUUGGGCGUAAAGCGAGCGCAGGCGGUUUAAUAAGUCUGAAGUUAAAGGCAGUGGCUUAACCAUUGUUCGCUUUGGAAACUAUUAAACUUGAGUGCAGAAGGGGAGAGUGGAAUUCCAUGUGUAGCGGUGAAAUGCGUAGAUAUAUGGAGGAACACCGGUGGCGAAAGCGGCUCUCUGGUCUGUAACUGACGCUGAGGCUCGAAAGCGUGGGGAGCAAACAGG
rnacentral:rRNA from 1 species